GAUGAACGCUGGCGGCGUGCCUAAUACAUGCAAGUCGAGCGGACGGACGAGAAGCUUGCUUCUCUGAUGUUAGCGGCGGACGGGUGAGUAACACGUGGAUAACCUACCUAUAAGACUGGGAUAACUUCGGGAAACCGGAGCUAAUGCCGGAUAAUAUUUUGAACCGCAUGGUUCAAAAGUGAAAGACGGUCUUGCUGUCACUUAUAGAUGGAUCCGCGCUGCAUUAGCUAGUUGGUAAGGUAACGGCUUACCAAGGCAACGAUGCAUAGCCGACCUGAGAGGGUGAUCGGCCACACUGGAACUGAGACACGGUCCAGACUCCUACGGGAGGCAGCAGUAGGGAAUCUUCCGCAAUGGGCGAAAGCCUGACGGAGCAACGCCGCGUGAGUGAUGAAGGUCUUCGGAUCGUAAAACUCUGUUAUUAGGGAAGAACAUAUGUGUAAGUAACUGUGCACAUCUUGACGGUACCUAAUCAGAAAGCCACGGCUAACUACGUG
rnacentral:rRNA from 1 species